rnacentral:rRNA from 1 species
UGGUUUUAGAUUAGUAACUUUAGGAAAAUUUAUUGGAUUUGGCGGCAAAAUACCCUUUUAGAGGAACCUGCCCUAUUAACGAUGGUCCACGAUUUCCCUACUUUUCUUAGUAAUCAGUUUAUAUACCGCUGUUGACAGUUAGUUUCUUUAGAAAUCUAUCUACAAUUUAAAAUAAAUUUACUUCAAGUAAAGGUGUAGCUUAUAGAAAAGAGAGAGGUGGGUUACAAUUAAUUGAAUAAUUACGGAUAAGUAAUCUAAUUGAUCUUUAAAGGAGGAUUUAAUAGUAAAAUUUUUAUACAAGUUUGAUUUGAGUAAUAUUUUGUGCACAAACCGCCCGUC